UGUAUUUGCGAACGUGUUCUCACAUCCGCUAAAAACCAGUACAACCAUGCCCGGCCUUGCCUCCGUAGCCGUGGGGUUGUAGGUGGUCAUAGAUGGUAAUUCUGAGGAUUUGGGAAGCACAUACUAGGCAAACCGGGGCGUCUUCUGCGUUGGGGGGGGGGCGGGAAGGUGGGUCAAUAUMAGGUSAGUUAAGCAAGAGUAAAACUUCCGACCAMCACAMAAGGGUGGAGGUCCCGUGGGGGUCCUUCCCCACGGCYCCUGCACGUGCUUCUGACCUAUCAACUAGACGGCAGCGUAAGGGACAUGCCUAUGGUGACAACGGUA
rnacentral:rRNA from 1 species